AGUUUGAUCUCAGACUGCUGUGCUAGCAAUCAGCGAGACUCCGUGGGCGUAGGACCCUCCGAGCCAGACAUCUUCUGUAACCAGAAGCACUCCAAGAACAACACUUUCAUUCAUGGACUUAACAACUACAUUAGAUCAUACCAGCCUGUCACUUCAAAGUCACCAGUGUCAAGGAACAUUUCAAAUUGGCUUAAAGCAUUGUUUUGGAGGUGUGAAUAAUGAAGCCAAGGACAUUAGCAACAUCAUGAAAGCAGGCAUCAAGUGAAUAGAGAAGAUUCUAUGGAUGUAGAAGAGGUCCCUGGGUUUCCGAAUUGCCACUGGAUUGCCUCUAUCAAAUACACAAGAGUUUCAUGAGUGAGAAAUAACCUUCUGUUGCUUUAAAUCUUGGGUUGUGCAAUACAUCAGUGAGCCUACCAUGACUAAUACAUUCUAUGGAUGCAGAUUUCUCUUCUCUGGCCAUUGACAUGAGUGUGCUUUCUGGAUGCAGGUUGGUGUAUAUUGCUAUCAUUUUCUGCCUUCUCAUGUUUGAUCUGGCUCUUAACCAGUUAUUUUUGGUAAACACUUUAUACAACAACCUCCUUUCUUCUAGAGAUUUCCAGUUUCCUUGAAAUGAACUUUAGUUAUGAGUAACAUUAAAAAUGUCUCUGUGUUCUGCACAUGGGCACAGGGAAGGGAACAACACACACUGGGGCCUCUCAGGGGGUGUAGUGGGGUGGGAAGAGGGAGAACAUUAGAAAAAGUAGCUAAUGCAUGCUGGGCUUAAUACCUAAUGGGUUGAUAGGUGCAGCAAACCACCACGGCACACAUUUACCUAGGUAACAAACCUUCACAUCCUGCACAUGUACCCCAGAACUUAAAAUUUAAAUUUAAAAAAAACUCUAUGUUCUGUAAGCUUUCUCUUAUAGAACACAGAGCUAUUUUAAACUUAACCACUCCCUCCCCACUUAAAACUAUUAGUGGGGAGGGAGUGGUUAGGAGUGGAAAUAAGAGAAAGGGGUUGUAGACAAAGCCAUAGAGAAGAGUCAUAUUCAAGAAAAACUUUUCUUAUCUCCGAAUAGAAGUCACUGAUUAACUGCUCUUCUUGCUGAAACAAACUGUGAACCAGAAGCUAAGACUCACCUUAAUACUUAGGAAAAAUAAUUUGGCCUUCCCUUCUGUUUUGAACACAGGAAGGAAUGGCCACGUAUCUUUGACUUUGAAGACAACUAGAAUUUCACGUAUUAUUCCGGGAGCAAAAUCAACCCCUCUGUGAGAAAGAGAAAGGUGGAAACAGAGCAUUUGGGCUUGGGAAGAGAGUAGUUGCUAUGCAGAGCUCAUUGUUUACUGAGCAUCUCUAUAACAUAUGCCUUAUGGGAGGUAGGAGAUGAGUGAAAACAAAAAUAGACUAGGUUAGACACAGAGUUUUUAUAAUAAUUACUAAGAAGUGCCAGUAAAAUUUACUGUUGAUCCAGUUUACUGUAAGCUUCGUGUCCUUAACACCAUCAUAAAUGAUGAACAGAUUAACAGAAUGUAAACAAAUUCUUCUCAGAAAACUUUUUUUUUCUUUUUUUUUAAGUCACAGGGGACCCAAGAUUCUUGGACAGAAUUCUCGCCGGGAGCCAACUCAGCCUGAUCUGCUGGCAUCUCUCAAGUAUCAGAAGUCAACAAAAUGGUUUGCCUUGAAGACUUGGCCAGAGCAGCAGCCAAAGUUCAUAAGGCUUUCGUAGAGAGAUUGUUUGUCUAAGAAAACAAAAUUCUAAGGGCUCCCAUUGUGCAGCUGGGGUGGCAAAAUGCAAACUAAUAUAAGGAAAAAAAAUGCUUUUCAUUUCCAUGGAAGAAAUGA
rnacentral:lncRNA from 1 species